UACGAAGGGUGCAAGCGUUACUCGGAAUUACUGGGCGUAAAGCGUGCGUAGGUGGUUUGUUAAGUCUGAUGUGAAAGCCCUGGGCUCAACCUGGGAAUUGCAUUGGAUACUGGCAGGCUAGAGUGCGGUAGAGGAUGGCGGAAUUCCCGGUGUAGCAGUGAAAUGCGUAGAGAUCGGGAGGAACAUCUGUGGCGAAGGCGGCCAUCUGGACCAGCACUGACACUGAGGCACGAAAGCGUGGGGAGCAAACA
rnacentral:rRNA from 1 species